rnacentral:lncRNA from 1 species
UUUGUCAUUAAAUUUGUUAUUUAAUAUAACAGUUUAGUUAAGACCGCUGAUGGAUUAAAUCAUGUGAUCUUUUCCUGUUAAUGAUCAAAUUUGGAUCAUUAUUACCUCAUUAAUAAUACUCAUUUUCAGCAAAUGGAUUUUAACAAUAUGUUUAUUUGAAUUUCAUUUAAAUCGAUAAUUUUACAGGAAAUAUUCUUUUGAUAGACAGUCGUGAUCUCAGCUACAAUUUUCAACAAGUUUGUUUCUCUAGAACAGGAAUGGCAAACCUAUGGCACGUGUGUUCAAAGUGGCACACUGGAAAAUUUUUAGGCUCGCAAAACUUGAAACGGAUUAUUAGAGGAAUCGGUUCUAACUCGGUUAAUCGGGGGUUAAUAUUGAUUAAAAUUCGGAUCAGCAUGCGAGGGAUAAUUUUUACAAAAAUUUAGCCAAUUUUGACACGCACCCUUAAAAUAUUUCCCUGUUUCAUGACUCAAUAAUAAAUUGCAAAUUUCGAUCGGAUAGGAUAAUAUUUACAACGAAAUUUUGUAUCAAAACAUGCAAACAUCUUUUUCUUAUUACGUCAAUAAUAAUAAUUCUAUAUCGAUCAUCCUUAAUAGUCUUGAUUCUCUAGUUUGUUAUGAUAAUAUCCGCGAAUUUUAUUUGAUUCUUAAUAAUAUUUAUUCGAAUUAUCGCGCUGACAGACGAACAUCAGACAACUUAAUAUUUAUAUAUGCCUACUCUUUCAUUCCAACCUACUCUUUCAACCUUUGAGUUGCAGAAGGCUUUGCUCAAGGGUUUGGCCGGGG